UCCGAUAUGGUGUAGUGCCUAACAUCUGGCACUCUCACUGCCAAGCCCGGGGUUCGAUUCCCCGUAUCGGAG
rnacentral:tRNA from 1 species